AACUGGUUACACAGCACACUGGCUCUGCUCCUUGCACCACACUGAAGCGACCUGAGUUCAAAUCCUGGCCGGUGCAGGAUUAAAGAUCAUUUUUGCAAAACUGUUGUUCAUCAAUAUUUUUGCCCCUGCCUAUUUUCAAACGUUUUAAAAUCGCAUCUUCCAAAAUCUAAAUCACACAAACUUUAUAUCGAAAUGCAUCAGAAAAACAUGAGGAUUUCAAAUAUCAUCAUGUCAUGCAUCAUUGACAUCAUCUUUGGUUCGAUCAAAUUAAAAUUGCAAAACUUGAACUAAAUGUUAUGUGAGGGUGUUCCAUUAUUUCCAUGCUACUUUGAGCACCCCACUUAAUUUUGCUAUACGUGAAAUCUUGCACAAAUCAUCUUGACAUGUCAUCAUGCAUCAUAUUGCGCAUUGCACUUGUAUUGAUUUGUGCCUUUACUCUCCUUGUAUGUGCUAUUUGGAUCUUCUCGAGUAGACGCCGACGCAGAGCAUACGAGCAGGAGUACGAGUUCCCCCUGGAGGAUCGUGUCGGUGCUUCUACCUCUGAUCUGACAGGCGAGCCCACCCCUUCACCUAUUUUACUUUUACAUGCUCUUUUGAUCUAUUGCUAUCCUUAUGUUGCGAUUCUGUUGUGUCACGUGUCC